rnacentral:tRNA from 1 species
GGGUAUAUAACUUGGUGGUAAAGUGCAUGCUUAGAGUGCACGAGGUCCUGGGUUCAAUCCUCAGUACCUCCA